UUGGACAAAAAUGCUCUUAAAACAAAAAAAUUCAAAAACAGCCCAGAAUAAUUCCGGAGUAUUUUCGUCGUAUAAACAAUGUUUUUAAAAUAAUAAUUAUUUUUAUUAUAAUUUUGUUAGAAAAAAAGUUAAAAACAACUCAUUUUCUUUCCUCUCUGCGUGCAGAUCAGCAGCUGCACUGCUGUUCUUCUUCUCCUCCUCCUUGAUUCUUCUUCACUCCAAAAACUUCAUUUCAUCGUAACUUUUUCAUACGGUGACGAAAUCGCGCAAGGUCAGAGUCUAUAGAUUUGUAUCAGAACCCUCUUCCAUCUUAUAUGACACCCAUACCUCAAAAUCAACUGUGCUCAAAGAUUGGAGCCUAGAACAGUGAUGAUUUUUUGGCGGAGUUUUGCUGAUUCCGCCCAAUCCCGCCGGAAUUUGAUCUCGGGGCAAGAGACAAAGUUGAUCCUCUCCUGACGAUCUUUCUACGAAUACUUGAGUUCGUUGAGUGAAUUGAAGGGAUUGUUGAUUGAAUUGGUAAUUGGAUAAUGAGGGAAUCUAGAAGAUCGGGGCACGUUCUCAGCUCCAAGAUUAUAAGAGUCGGCUAUUAGUGUUUGGACAUGAUGGUCCUUACUUUGAUCGUGAAGUUGCACAGAUUCAUAUGCAUGAAGAUUUUAUAAGUAGUAUUGAAGCUAAAUGAUGAUCGGUUGAACUAGAUGCAGGAAAAUGACGACGUUCUGAUUGCCACAUUUGGUCGUAAUGGUAGAGUACAACCAUGUUAUUUCGAUGCAUUUUCUACAAAUUUCGGGUUUAGACAGAAUAAUUGUUGAGAUAAGGGAAGGCUGUUGCUCAAGAUUGCUCUUAAUUUUUUGUUAAAUUAAUGUUGCAUUUGGUAUUUUAGAAUUUUUUUUGGGCUAUACUGAUUAUGUCGUCGCUUGAAGGAACGACGUUCUCAUUGCAGGAUUUGGUCGUAAAGGUAGAGCACAUUUGGGACCCCAUAAUCCGCGUGUUCAACUUCCAGAAUUCCAGUCCAUAGUUGGGAGACAACGAAUUUUCAAAACAUCAAAGUUCAGGAUUUUUGUUUGGCCAUCAUUGACGAAGUAAAGGUAACUCCGUUCUGGAUUUCAACAUUUGGGGUUUCAUUUAUAUUUAUGGAUCUUCCAAUGCAAAGGGCAUUGUUCUUGAGAAAAUGGAAGUGAAAUUUAGCUAAAUGUGUUUUCCAUUAAGAAUCCUAUCCAAUCCUUUUUAGCUAAUGGCUUUCAAUUUUCAUUCUACAUUAGUAUGGUUCAGUUACCUUCACAAAAAAACACUUUCCCACUCGGACGAUAGUAUAAAAGUCUUAAACCUGAACAUGUACAAAGUGUUUUAGUGUUUGUCUUCCAUUUCAACAAAGUGUUUGGUAGUAAAAAUAUCGUUAUGCAUGCACAAAUAUGAAAGGGAAAAACUCUAUAUGCCGCAUGUUGUGACUCCUAAACCCCUGCCACUCAAACUUGCUUCCAAGUGCAACAAAAACAUGGAUAUCUAAUAUUCACUCGUUGCCAAAUAAAUUGGCCAAACAAAAGGAAAAUAUUUGUAACUCACAAUAUACACAUAAAUGGUAUUGUAUGAAAUAUUCGACAUGAACUUUUAUUAUUAACAUCACUUCACUUUUAUAUGUUACCUAACUGUUGACAAUUCACAAUCCUCAUGUUCUCUUUUCUUUUUUCAAAAAUAAAUUAUCGUGUUUUUUUUUUUCAUG